UUGUCCGGAAUUAUUGGGCGUAAAGCGCGUGUAGGCGGCUCGGUAAGUCUGCUGUGAAAGUCCAAGGCUCAACCCUGGAAGGCCGGUGGAAACUGUCGGGCUAGAGUCCGGAAGAGGCGAGUGGAAUUCCCGGUGUAGCGGUGAAAUGCGCAGAUAUCGGGAGGAACACCAAUGGCGAAGGCAGCUCGCUGGGACGGUACUGACGCUGAGACGCGAAAGCGUGGGGAGCAAACAGG
rnacentral:rRNA from 1 species